rnacentral:rRNA from 1 species
UACGUAGGGGGCAAGCGUUGUCCGGAUUUACUGGGCGUAAAGGGUGCUCAGGUGGCUUGGAAAGUCAGUGGUGAAAUCUGAGAGCUUAACUCUCAAACUGCCAUUGAUACUUCUUAGCUUGAGUACGGAAGAGGCUGAUGGAAUUUCAGGUUUAGCAGUGAAAUGCGUAGAUAUCUGAAAGAACACCAGUGGCGAAGGCGGUCAGCUGGUCCGUUACUGACACUAAAGCACGAAAGCGUGGGUAGCAAACAGG